rnacentral:lncRNA from 1 species
ACGCUGUGAGGGUCCUUGCCUCCCCCCAGCCCAAACAGAACUCUGGUCCUGUCCCAGAAUUGGCCUGUGCCAUUACUCUUACUUCUGGGCCUCAGCUACCCUAUCUACAAAAGGAAGGGAGUGUUAAAUGUUCUCUAAGGUCCCUUCCAACGCUAGUAAAUUAUGACAGCCUUUACCAGAGUGAUCGUUAUUCAUGGAUGAGCGGAAAGUUAUAAAAUUAUUCCUGGUGGGCAGAUUCAAACCAAAGUCCCGGCUGUUUUUUUUCCUACAUGACAUGCGACAGUUUACAGUGUAGCGUAAGAGCACAAAGUAGGAAGGCAGCCAUUAAAGGUGAGAAAAAUAAACAGCUGGGGGAGAAUGCCUGUAUAAAUUGCUCACUCUGACUUCAGGGGGAUAAUUUUUUUUUUCAAGUAAGAUCAUGAGAAGUAGAUUUAUGUCCCCAGAUCCCAUGCAAAUGCAGGAUUUGUACAAUAACCAUUUAUCAGCUCCCAAAGAGCUGAUUUAUGGGCCAGCCACCCUACUUUGUAUUCUGACAGGCUCAGAAAGUUAACUGACAACACGGAAAGAAAUAUCCUCCGAUUCAUUGCAGGCGACGGGUUAUAAAUGAGCACAACUUGAUUUUCUGCUCUGGAAAAUUAGUGUUUUGAAACUCUCAUUAGAAAUUAGUCGUUAAAGCUGUUCCCAAACUU